rnacentral:rRNA from 1 species
AUUGAACGUUGGCGGCAGGCCUAAUACAUGCAAGUCGAACGGCAGCACAGAGAGCUUGCUCUUGGGUGGCGAGUGGCGGACGGGUGAGUAACGCGUAGGAAUCUACCCAGUAGCGGGGGAUAGCCCGGGGAAACUCGGAUUAAUACCGCAUACGCCCCACGGGGGAAAGGCCGGGAUCUUCGGACCGGUCACUAUUGGAGGAGCCUGCGUUGGAUUAGCUUGUUGGUGGGGUAAAGGCCUACCAAGGCUACGAUCCAUAGCUGGUCUGAGAGGACGAUCAGCCACACUGGAACUGAGACACGGCCCAGACUCCUACGGGAGGCAGCAGUGGGGAAUUUUGGACAAUGGGCGCAAGCCUGAUCCAGCCAUGCCGCGUGAGUGAAGAAGGCCUCGG